GACGUAGGGCGCGAGCGUUGUCCGGAUUUAUUGGGCGUAAAGAGCUCGUAGGCGGCUUGUCGCGUCGGCUGUGAAAACCCGGGGCUCAACCCCGGGCCUGCAUUCGAUACGGGCAGACUAGAGUUCGGUAGGGGAGUCUGGAAUUCCUGGUGUAGCGGUGAAAUGCGCAGAUAUCAGGAGGAACACCGGUGGCGAAGGCGGGACUCUGGGCCGAUACUGACGCUGAGGAGCGAAAGCGUGGGGAGCGAACAGG
rnacentral:rRNA from 1 species